rnacentral:rRNA from 1 species
AUUGAACGCUGGCGGAAUGCUUUACACAUGCAAGUCGAACGGCAGCACGGGUGCUUGCACCUGGUGGCGAGUGGCGAACGGGUGAGUAAUACAUCGGAACGUACCCAGUUGUGGGGGAUAACGAGUCGAAAGAUUCGCUAAUACCGCAUACGACCUGAGGGUGAAAGCGGGGGACCGUAAGGCCUCGCGCAAUUGGAGCGGCCGAUGUCUGAUUAGCUAGUUGGUGAGGGAAAGGCUCACCAAGGCGACGAUCAGUAGCUGGUCUGAGAGGAUGAUCAGCCACACUGGAACUGAGACACGGUCCAGACUCCUACGGGAGGCAGCAGUGGGGAAUUUUGGACAAUGGGGGAAACCCUGAUCCAGCCAUUCCGCGUGAGUGAAGAAGGCCUUCGGGUUGUAAAGCUCUUUCGGCAGGGAAGAAACGCUCUGGCUUAAUACGCCGGGGUAAUGACGGUACCUGAAGAAGAAGCACCGGCUAACUACGUGCCAGCCGCCGCCGUAA